AUGGGUGAGAAGGGUCCAAUUGAGGAAAAUAAUGUUAAUGAGGAAUGGAAUGUUGACAUGGCAAAGAAGAAAGAAGUGAGGCACAAUAAUAGAAUCAAAGGAAAGCAUCCAAGCCAUUACAUUGGUGCUUUCAACACACUAAUGGUCGACAACACCAGAAUGAAGGAGCUUGCAGUUGAGGUUAAACGCCAAGGUGAAGUUCUGGAGAAGAACGGACAGUCAAAUGCAGCUCUUUUUGCAAGAAUGGAGACGAUGCAGUUGUCAUCAGAGUCACACUUUGUGGAGUUGUCGAAAUCAAUGGAAAUGAUGCUGAAAUAG